rnacentral:RNase_P_RNA from 1 species
CCAGUCGGCCGGGCGGCCGCGACUGUUCCGCGAGGAACAAUCGAGGAAAGUCCGGGCUCCACGGAGAAACGGUGGCGGCUAACGGCCGCCGGGGGUGACCCCAGGGAAAGUGCCACAGAGAUUGAACCGCCGACCGGCCUUCGGGCCGGGGCAAGGGUGAAAAGGUGCGGUAAGAGCGCACCGCGGCGCCGGCAACGGGGCUGGCAGGGCAAACCCCACCGGGAGCAAGACCGAAUAGGGAUGGCGCGCGGCGGGCAACCGCCGCAGGGUGCUUCGCCCCAGCCAUCCGGGUUGGUUGCUUCAGGGCCGGCGCGAGCCGCGCCCGAGAUGAAUGGCCGCCACGCCGGGGAAACCCGGCCCUACAGAACCCGGCUUACAGGCCGACUGGCGAU